rnacentral:misc_RNA from 1 species
GGGGAAGCGAGGAAGGCAAUAGAAAGAGUAGAAUUAGAGGAAUUGUAGGAGAAGUGAAGGUAGGAAGUGAGCGUAGGAAGGUCUACACAGUGAGCAUACAAAUCGUUGCCGGUGAAUUUCGGAGAUGAGCAGGUCUGAGAGAGAGCAGGUGAUGUUAGAGAAACCCAAAAACAAAGACCAAAAAUCAAAGCAGUGAAGCUAAGGGAAGCCAUUUUUGAGAGCUUUCAGUAUUAGAGAGCUGAAGAAACUGGACGCUAAAUCUUUGGAAGAAUUUAAAGACAAAAUGAAAGAAGCAGACACUGAGAGCUA